AUAAUAAGAGCAGCAUAUAUAGUAAAAUUGGAAGGAUAUAUAGAUUAGCAUGGCUCCUGCACAAGAAUGACGUACAAAUUUGUGAAGAGUUCCAUAUUUUU
ensembl:snRNA U6 U6 spliceosomal RNA